ACAAACUAUUUCAUGAGAGAAAACAUAGGGUCCACAACCAACAUUGGGUAAAGUCACCUCUGACAUUUCCAGGGCUUUCCCACAACUUGAGGAAGCCUUUCGACCAGCAGGAGCUGGAGGUCAAUGUCAGUAUAACCUAGUAUAUUAAUAAAAUGACAUGAGACAAUCAGGCAAAAGAACAAUCUAUUUGAAAUAUUGACAAAAAAG